UGUGUAUCUGUUGAAUGACUCCCU
rnacentral:miRNA from 1 species